CCCGUACGAUCACCGAAGUUAAGCAACGUCGAGCAUGUUCAGUAACUAGAUGGGUGACCACUUCUGAAUACCAGGUACUGUAAG